GAUCAUGGCUCAGAUUGAACGCUGGCGGCAUGCCUUACACAUGCAAGUCGAACGGCAGCACGGGAGCAAUCCUGGUGGCGAGUGGCGAACGGGUGAGUAAUACAUCGGAACGUGCCCAGUAGUGGGGGAUAACUGCUCGAAAGAGCAGCUAAUACCGCAUACGACCUGAGGGUGAAAGCGGGGGAUCGCAAGACCUCGCGCUAUUGGAGCGGCCGAUGCCAGAUUAGCUAGUUGGUGGGGUAAAGGCCUACCAAGGCAACGAUCUGUAGUUGGUCUGAGAGGACGACCAGCCACACUGGGACUGAGACACGGCCCAGACUCCUACGGGAGGCAGCAGUGGGGAAUUUUGGACAAUGGGCGCAAGCCUGAUCCAGCCAUGCCGCGUGAGUGAAGAAGGCCUUCGGGUUGUAAAGCUCUUUCGGCCGGAAAGAAAUCGCAUGGGUUAAUACCCUGUGUGGAUGACGGUACCGGAAUAAGAAGCACCGGCUAACUACGUG
rnacentral:rRNA from 1 species